GGGGGGAUUCAUAAUCUCAUUCUGACAUUAUUUCUGAUGGCAUAGAAAUUGUUUUCCUCUUUCUGAAUAACCCACAUCUUUCUUGAUUCUUUUCUCCAAAAUAACUGUCGCGAACACCGUAACGUGCAUACCGCAUAUUACGUCAUUUUAUUUUAAAGUGAUAUAAAAAUCCGCGAAAGACACUCUGAUGGGUUAACCGUUAUGUGACGUUAUUAUGCGCAAUGAAAAGGGUGCAUAUUAUACGAUUUUAAUUGUUACUGACGAUUAAUAUUUAAAAAAUAUAUGCAAAGUUAGGGAGCUGCAGUUAUUGGUACAGCCCUAUAAGACGGAGUUUUCGGCCAGAGACUAUUGGAUGUCUUAAUGGGUAAGGAAAACCCCGAGUUAUACAUUGUUCUUGUAUCAUUUGUUAUACUUUUUUAUUAUAAAAAAAAUUCUCACUCAUGUUAUACACACAUUUUUUAAAAAGCCAACUUUUUAUCAUUUAAUCUACAGUGGGGUACAGUGUGAGUUGUUGUAGAUUUAUUUUAUAGCAGAUAAUCUGGCUUAUAGUGUUACAAUAUUAGACCAGAUGUAGUAGAAUCAUGUAAAAUAUGUUGAAAUGGAUGUGAUACAAUGUGUAUUGUAUAAACAGAUGAAAUGGAGCCAUACUCAGAUAUCGAGAUUGAUGAAGAAACCGUUGAGAUAGAACCCUAUCCAAAGGAUGAAGUAGAAUAUUUAGAUUCUGAUGGCAUCAGGUUGACAAGCCAUCACUCAACUGCACUCUGGAGAACAAUAUGUCCCAAAUAUUGCACAUUUAAACUUUCAAGUGAAAACUGUAUGGAAGUUAGGAGAAAUGAACCAAAGAAUCAGAAAGAUCAUACUCAGUGGCUACUAGACUAUUUCUUUGAACAUGCAACACAGGACACAGUUUACCAUCUCAUUUGUGGAAAGGAAGGCUGCAUGAAUUGUUGGAUGUACUGUUACAGUAUCAUCACAUUCAUUUAACACCUCGCCAUGUAUACACUGGUGGGUACAUCAACCCUAAAAGGAGGAAGACGAGUUGCUGAUCAAGUGGAAUAAAUAAACAUCAACUUCCCUACAUAUUGCAGUCUUCAGCUUGUGUAUUAUAUUUCGGAAUGAAUCUUCCAUUUUGGAAUUUAGGGGGAUGGGAGGGUUUUGGUUGAUUUACUUUUGAGAUGAUCAUCAUUACUGCAUCUUACCAACUCUGAUGUCCAAUAAGACAUAGAUCGAUUUUGAAGUGGCCCAAUUCAGGCAUUGACUGAUUAUAAAGUCAACCAAUAAAGACAUUGGCCGACUAUGGAGUUGCCAAUGCAGGCAUUG